rnacentral:lncRNA from 1 species
UCCGAGCCCCGGCCCGCGCAUGGCCCUUCCUAAUUAGAGAUGUGGCAUACCAUUUGAGGACGGGUCAUGACACAGCCCAAAGCAUGAAACAGCAGUGCACAAAAUAUUUUCGACCAUGCCAAACCAAAACAUACCGUUUAAAUUGGUGUAAACAUAUUCUUGACGAAUCUACAUGAGUAAGUGUUCAAAAGUGGAAUGUGUAGACUCUGUAUAUCCACCCAAGCAUUCAGUGCACAAGGCACUCAGUGCACAACAAGCUAACAAUGAGUUCUCCUAGCUAGGUUGCCUUGUUAGUUUGUUACAUGGAAGGUUGUCUAGUAGGGAGUUCAGUUUGACUGACUUUAUUCAGUGUUACUAACUCAUUGUUUAUUUCAGCUUGGUUCGUAUCAGCUAUGUGUAGUGCUGCUAGUGGUAAUGAACUGAAUGGCCAACCAGCUAUAUAUAUAGGAGAACUCUGAUAUAUAAGCAGCGUUCCGUACAUCAGGAAAUAGCAGUUUCAAGAAAAAACCUAACCUGUAGAACGAUACCUGUUGCCAGCCGCCACCGGUAGUGCCAACCGGCCAAAACCAGUGCAAACUGUGAUUGAACAGGCCUCACAAAAAACACCACGCGUACGGUGUGGCUGGCCUAAAGUAGCACAAUUUUCACGUGUUGAUUGAGGCUUGAACUCAUAGAUAUACAAUACAUAAGUUUCUGAUUGCACAAAUUUCACUCUUGGUAGAGGCCAAUGAACACUCAUGUGACUGGAAACCAUUAUUCCUAUAUAUGUGCUGAAAACCCGUCAAGAAAGCUGAAAAAACCAUGAGGGAAAUAAAUUCUGUCGGGCAACCGACAGGCAAAUCCUGUCAGGGAUAGAUCAACUGAGAAAUUCUUUUUGCCUAUAAGUUUCCCGUCAGAAAGAUUAUCUCUGACGGUACUUUUCUUAUGGCAAGCUCACAGAAAAAUUGCGCGUCCUUGGAUUAGGAAACCGUCAGGUUAAAUGUUUUCCCGUUAGGCAGCCCUCAAGAAAUGUAUAGUUUUUUCUUUUGCUGCCACACUAUUUCUAUGUAGGUUGGCCUUCAAGGUAUUUGUAAUCUCCAAUGCUGCAUCUUUGAAUGCUUAAUUAUAUCGCUCCAACGCUGAGUUCCUUGGUGCCACCCAUUCAUAUGAAACGAGCAAGGUGGUGGUACAGCUUUGGAAUGUGGAGAUUGCAAACAAGGAGAGGCGAACGCGAGCGAGGCGCUGGGUUUUAUGCUCCUCUCAGGCUUUGGUGGAAAAGUAUAAAGGUGA